rnacentral:lncRNA from 1 species
AGUGGCCUGCAGUCUGACCAAGAUGGGGUGGAUCAGGCUCCUUCCUCGCAGAACAGUGAAUUCAUCACGUUCAUCGAUCGACAGGCGCAGCGAAGUGGCAUGGACUCUCUGCUCCCGUGCUGGUACUGGGACUGGGAUCGCCAGUCCCAUGCACAUAGAUAAAAUCUGCCGUUGCAUGUAGAUCUGCGUCGCAACUACACGAUCUCAC